UACGUAGGGGGCAAGCGUUGUCCGGAAUCAUUGGGCGUAAAGCGCGUGUAGGCGGCCCGAUAAGUCCGCUGUGAAAGUCCAAGGCUCAACCUUGGAAUGCCGGCCGAUACUGUCGGACUAGAGUCCGGAAGAGGCAAGUGGAAUUCCCGGUGUAGCGGUGAAAUGCGCAGAUAUCGGGAGGAACACCAACGGCGAAGGCAGCUUGCUGGGACGGUACUGACGCUGAGAUGCGAAAGCGUGGGGAGCAAACAGG
rnacentral:rRNA from 1 species